rnacentral:rRNA from 1 species
AGGGUUUGAUCAUGGCUCAGGAUGAACGCUAGCGGCAGGCCUAACACAUGCAAGUCGAGGGGUAACAGGGGAGCUUGCUCUCGCUGACGACCGGCGCACGGGUGCGUAACGCGUAUACAAUCUACCUUUUGCUGAGGGAUAGCCCAGAGAAAUUUGGAUUAACACCUCAUAGUAUGUAUUAAUGGCAUCAUUAAUAUAUUAAAGGUUACGGCAAAAGAUGAGUAUGCGUUCUAUUAGCUAGAUGGUGUGGUAACGGCACACCAUGGCAACGAUAGAUAGGGGCCCUGAGAGGGGGAUCCCCCACACUGGUACUGAGACACGGACCAGACUCCUACGGGAGGCAGCAGUGAGGAAUAUUGGGCAAUGGAGGCAACUCUGACCCAGCCAUGCCGCGUGCAGGAAGACUGCCCUAUGGGUUGUAAACUGCUUUUAUACAGGAAGAAACACUCCCUCGUGAGGGAGCUUGACGGUACUGUAAGAAUAAGGAUCGGCUAACUCCGUGCCAGCAGCCGCGGUAAUACGGAGGAUCCAAGCGUUAUCCGGAAUCAUUGGGUUUAAAGGGUCCGUAGGUGGAUAAUUAAGUCAGAGGUGAAAUCCUGCAGCUCAACUGUAGAAUUGCCUUUGAUACUGGUUAUCUUGAGUUAUUAUGAAGUAGUUAGAAUAUGUAGUGUAGCGGUGAAAUGCAUAGAUAUUACAUAGAAUACCAAUUGCGAAGGCAGAUUACUAAUAAUAUACUGACACUGAUGGACGAAAGCGUGGGGAGCGAACAGGAUUAGAUACCCUGGUAGUCCACGCCGUAAACGAUGGUCACUAGCUGUUUGGACUUCGGUCUGAGUGGCUAAGCGAAAGUGAUAAGUGACCCACCUGGGGAGUACGUU